rnacentral:rRNA from 1 species
UACAGAGGUGGCAAGCGUUGUUCGGAAUUACUGGGCGUAAAGGGCGCGUAGGCGGCCAUCUAAGUCAGACGUGAAAUCCCCCGGCUUAACCUGGGAACUGCGUCUGAUACUGGACGGCUGGAGUUUGGGAGAGGGAUGUAGAAUUCCAGGUGUAGCGGCGAAAUGCGUAGAUAUCUGGAGGAAUACCGGUGGCGAAGGCGGCAUCCUGGACCAAUACUGACGCUGAGGCGCGAAAGCUAGGGGAGCAAACGGG